AACAAACCCAAGCCCUGCCAGAGUCAGAAUCCAAGCUGACACCCGUCAGUCAGGCAGGGUGUUGGCAGCAGUCCCAUCCCAUGGUGGCUGCAUCCUCCUGCAGUGACAGAUGUGGCUCAGUUGGAGCAGUGCUCCUGUACAAGGUGCAGUUUCCUCCCAAGCUCCAGUGGUGAUGUGGAGCAAUCCCGUUUCCCUCUGGAGUCCAGUGGAGAAAGGGCUCCCUUAGUGUCCCAAAACCUCUGUUUUUAUCUUGGUAAGAAAUGUUGGGCUCUUCCCCCUGGCUGGAGCAGCUCCCAAUGGGAUGCAGUAAUUUUAUCAGUCCCACAGUGGGACUCAAUGGCCAUGAGCAGAAAAUGACUCCUGGAGGAAGGAUGGGUUGUGAAAAGAUAAAGAACACUGCCCCAGCUGGUUUAUAAACCAUGGCCAUGAACAGGAGAUAUCCCAUGAGAUAAAGAACACUGCCCCAGCUGUUUUAUAAACCAUGGCCAUGAACAGGAGAUAUCCCAUGAGAUAAAGAACACUGCCCCAGCUGGUUUCAAUGGAUGCCCAUUAGCAGAAUAUCUCCCAGGGAGAUCAGGAUCACUGCCCCACCCUCAACAGAUGGUGAUAGAACAGAUACCUUUGAUCACACCCUGUAUUGUAACCCAAGGCACAGUGUCAUGUGUUGGCAGGCAGGUGGAAAGGCCACUCCUGCUCCUCUCUGCCUGGCAAAGAGGCUGAGUCAGACUCCUGCUCACAGCACAGGGGUGCCUCUGGUGCCAGAUUUCAGCACCUUCCUGAGGACCAGGACAAGAGGGAGGGGUGAGCUCUGUCUUCUGGUGCCUUUGCAGUUCUGCUGAGAAAUGGGGACCUGCUGUUGGAAACAAGAGACUUCCAAAACAAACCCAAAAGCUUUGCUUCAGCACAAGCUGGUGGAUUUGAAACAGAUUUCAAAACUGAGUGUAUUACAAAAGUCCACAGUUAUGGAAAAGACAAAGGAUUUGGCACCUGAACUGAAGUGUAAAGUGACUCCAAGGCAGAAAUAUGUGAUAAAAAGCUUUGUGAUUAAUUUAAUAAACCAAGCAUUG
rnacentral:lncRNA from 1 species